rnacentral:lncRNA from 1 species
CAGGAAUGGAGUGGGUUUUCUUCCUCCUUCCAGCCUGCCCUGGUGCGCCCUCCAUGUCCCUGCUGCCCAGCUUCUUGGCACCAAGCCCCGGCAUCUUGUUAUCACAGGCGCUGUGCUGUCUGUCACCUUUUAUUACAAAACCUUCUGAAAUUCUCCAAAUCGUCUCGCCGGUUAUCGUGUUCAACCACAGUGUGCUUGCAGGAGCCUCGAGCUGGAACCACAAGGCAGCCACAGUGCGUCGGGGACUUCUGUUCUGUGCCCAGGAGGGCCCCCCUCCUUUCUCCUCCCCACUAGCCGCUGGGCUCCUAACUCCAGGUAGCAACCACUCUAUAGCCCCGUCUGGCUCCUUUCCCAAGGAAGAGCAGUAUCCCACCAUUGUCCAGGAGCAGGGCAGCGUCUGUGAACAGGGUCUCACACUGUGUCCCAGACUGGUCUGAAACUAUCUAUGUGUAGCCCAGGCAGAAGUGGCAUACGCAGCAAUUCUCCUGUCUCAGUGUCCUGGCUGCUGAGCUUGCAGGCUGACAGUGAGUAGUCUGAGAGAAACGGAUACACUUAGCGGUCUGCCUGCUGACCACAUGGCUGAGCUCUGCAUAACAGCCUCGAGGGGCUUUGCAGUUGACAAAUGACUCUCAUGCAAUGUCAUAACUCUCCGGAGGAGGUAUUCGUCCCCCUAAUUUACAGCUAAGGAAACUGAGGUGGCUUGCUCACCACCAUAGGUAGGGACCAGUUAUCCACAGUUCACAGCUUCACACAGAGGAGAACUCGGCCCGGAAGCUCGUGGGCUGAGAGAAGGAAAAAAAAAAACAGCAAGAUGGUUGAGGGCUGGGAUUAUGGUAUCAAAACCUAGGCUGAGGACUUGGGAAACCAGUAAGUGGGUCCUGGCUCUACUGUCUCUUGUCCUCUGACCAAAGAGCAUGUGCAGGUUUAGGGUACUCAGAGGAUGGCAUAGAAGCUGAGAGGUAGCCCAGUCCAUGUGUCCUUCAGGUGAAGUGUGUGUGUGUGUGUGUGUGUGUACACAAGCAUGUGUGCUGUGUUUGCAUGCUUUAUGUGUGUGCACAUGUCUGCAUACUCAUGUGUGGGCGUGCACAUGGAGAUGAGAGGACAACCUUGGAUGCCAUUCUUCAAGUGCUAAUCACCCUGUUUUGCUUUGGGUUUUGGUUUUGGUUUUAGUUUUGAUGCAGGAUCUCCCAGUGACCAAUCAGGCUAGACUGACCGGCAAGCAAGCUCUCUGGUGCCUGGAUUAUGUGCCUGGAUUAUGAACGCUCAUUACCACACCUCGCUUUGGUUUCAUGAAGGUUCUGGGGUCACACUCACCCCCACUGCACAGCCACCAUCAGCUGUGUCCUCUGGACAUUCUGACAGGUUGUUAGAACUGUUUCUGAGAAAAUAUGAUUCCCCACCCCAGCUUCAGCAUGGAUCCGGGCACCCCUGACAUUCAGUGGCACUCACUUCUGCUAAUAGGGAUCUUAGAGAUGAUCUUGGAGACGGAAGGCAUCAGUCCAAAAUGGCCACACAGCAAAUACAAACGGUGAGCCAGACAACUUGUCUCGGUGACACCUGAAUCAAGGCAGGGACCUUGUGUCACAAAGGGAGCAGCAGCCAUAAAUAUCCACAGUGGUGUGAAAUACCAGAAUGCUCUCCACAGCCCAUGAAAUGGACAUAAAUGUUUACUUCACACUAUAAUUAUGAAGAGGGGCCAUGGAUCGCCAUAAAACCCUAAAGAUUGAUGCUAAACCAACCACCUCCUUAGUAUCAUAAAUUCUGCCUGCGGUUAUAUGCAGUAUUUAAUAAACAUUAAUGAAAAUUUUGUUUAUAACACAUUUUUUUUUAAAAAAAUGGGGCUGGUGAGAUGGCUCAGUGAGUAAGAGCACCCGACUGCUCUUCCGAAGGUCCGGAGUUCAAAUCCCAGCAACCAC